AGCUACCUUUGAUAUUGACUGUAUCUUCUGGAACUUCAGUGAUUCUGCCAUGUCCAGCUUCUACAUUUGAUCCUGAAUUGCCUUUGGUCUUAGAGCCCCACUUGCUGGAGAUUUGCAUAGACUAGGAUCAGAGAUUAGAUUUUGCUUCCCUGUCCUAUUUAACCUCCUGUCAGAACUUGCAGCUGAGUCAGCACCUGGUACUUUUCCUGCCCUAGUGAGUAGGCAAGAAUGACAGUGAACCAAAAGGCUUUGGAAGUCCUCUGUGAGUAUGUCAGACCUGCCUUCCUCGACCCAGUUUACCAUGGAGCAGAACUGCCAGCUGACUUUGGAUACUUACUUCUGAAUGUUCCCUGAUUGAGAAAUGAAUUAUUUUUAUAGGACAAUUUAGCCUUUUACUCUAAUUAAUACAAAUAUAAAUAGAA